rnacentral:rRNA from 1 species
UACACACCGCCCGUCACGCCAUGGAAGCUGGGGGGACCUGAAGCGGGUGGGCUAACCGCAAGGAGGCAGCCGUCAAAGGUCAAUUCAGUGACUGGGGCG